AUUGAAUAGCAGUUUUCUGGUUGUCCUUUGGACAUAACAAGGAAGUCCGGUGAAAUUCCGGCACGGUCCCGCCACUGUAAAAGUCGUAAAGACUUAAAGUCAGAUACUUACCAGUUAACCCAGUAUCAC
rnacentral:ncRNA from 2 species